rnacentral:piRNA from 1 species
AUGAGUUGAUAGUACACGGUGA